GAUUGACGAGGCCAUAAAGAAUAAUGUUUGCUGACUUUGUGCGAUAAAACAUCAAUAUAGAUUGCUUGGAACAGCGUUUAUUUUAUUUCAGCCGUACGCUUGGACCGCCCUGGCCUGCACGUUUCACACUGGCGAACGUCACCCAUUAAAAAGGGAAAGGAAGUUGCCAGACUCUUGAUAAAAAUCAAUUGACCCCAGCAGUUGGGAGAUACUGCAGUGAUGAGAACGGAUAAUCUUCAAGAAAAGACAGGACACAUAAAAUUAGACAGGAUUUCCAAAGAC